GUUCUCUUAUGAGGCCGGUCAUCGGAAUGGGUACAAUUUAAACCCUUUAACGAGUAUCUAUGAGAGGGCAAGUCUGGUGCCAGCAGCCGCGGUAAUUCCAGCUCUCAAAGUGCAUAGAAUUAUUGCUGCGGUUAAAAAGCUCGUAGUUGGAUCUGUGCCAUAGGACGUGGUCCACCUUCGGGUGCGUACUACGCUCCUAGGCUUUUUGCUGGUUUUCCCGUCGUAGCCUUCACUGGUUGCGGCGGGUGGCUGGCGAGUUACUUUGAGAAAAUCAGAGUGCUCAAUACAGGCGUAUCGCUUGAAUGAUUGUGCAUGGAAUAAUAGAAAAGGAUUUCGGUCCUCUUUUAUUGGUUUUGUGGACUGAGAUAAUGGUUAACAGGGACAAACGGGGGCAUUCGUAUCUCUGCGUGAGAGGUGAAAUUCUUGGACCGUAGAGAGACGCCCUACUGCGAAAGCAUUUGCCAAGAAUGUCUUCAUUAAUCAAGAACGAAAGUCAGAGGUUCGAAGGCGAUCAGAUACCGCCCUAGUUCUGACCGUAAACGAUGCCAACUAGCGAUCCGCCGGUGGAUUUUUAGCCCUGGUGGGUAGCUUCCCGGAAACGAAAGUCUUCCGGUUCCGGGGGAAGUAUGGUUGCAAAGCUGAAACUAAAAGGAAUUGACGGAAGGGCACCACCAGGAGUGGAGCCUGCGGCUUAAUUUGACCCAACACGGGGAAACUCACCCGGCCCGGACACCGUAAGGAUUGACAGAUUGAUAGCUCUUUCAUGAUUCGGUGGUUGGUGGUGCAUGGCCGUUCUUAGUUCGUGGAUCGAUUUGUCUGGUUUAUUCCGAUAACGAGCGAGACUCUAGCCUACUAAAUAGUAACGAGAUUAUCAAUGUCUCAGUUGCUUCUUAGAGGGAUUUUCGGUGUUUAGCCGCACGAGAUUGAGCAAUAACAGGUCUGUGAUGCCCUUAGAUGUCCGGGGCUGCACGCGCGCUACACUGGCGAAAUCAGCGUGCUGUAUCCAUUCUCGAAAGGGAUUGGUAAACCCAUGAAAAUUUGCCGUGCUUGGGAUCGGAAAUUGCAAUUAUUUUCCGUGAACGAGGAAUUCCAAGUAAGUGCGAGUCAUCAACUCGCUCUGAUUACGUCCCUGCCCUUUGUACACACCGCCCGUCGCUGCCCGGGACUGAGCCAUUUCGAGAAGAUCAGGGACUGGUGGACUGUGGCCUUUUCGGAGGUCCGGUUCGCUGGAAACUGAUUUGAUCGCAGUGGCUUGAACCGGGCAAAAGUCGU
rnacentral:rRNA from 1 species